rnacentral:lncRNA from 10 species
UUGGUGGCAAGAUUUUAAUGCUUCUUCUUUAUACCACACCGGGAUCUAAUCCCAGUCUGCCACCCAGAUUGCUUGACAUGGAGCAGGCUUUAGCCCGCCUCUUCCUCAGUGGCAUUAUCUAGGGAGGAAAGGACCAAUCCAAGAGAUGUUAUGGAAGGCAGCACUCCCAUUUAUGAAUGGCGGGAUACUAUCCAGUGAUAGCAAUAGUAAGCAACACAGUCUUAAUGUUACAUUUGUAAAGAAUAUCACCACUCAAUUUAUGGUUUGUCUUUUUAAUCCUUAUGUCUUUUUUGGCAACUAAGAAGGACCAGCUCCAGGUAAACAAUAUCCAAUUGACCUGUAAAUCUUGCCAGUUAUGUCACUGCAUUAAUCAUAGCACAUUGCAAACACAUAAUGUCUCUACUUUGAUAAUUUUGGGUCGCAUCCCUGGGCUAUGGAUUCCUGUUAAUCUGUCCCAGCCUUGGGCUACCACACCUGCUUUGCACUUCAUGAAACAUCUUCUAACUCAACUUACUCAUUGUGCCCAUAGAGCCUUAGGCAAACUGAAGUGGCAUUGUUGAAAUCCACGGCUCUACAGUUAGGAGAACAAGUACAAAGCUUGCAAUUGCAACAGCAAUUGCACCAUCAUUUUAAUCACACUCAUAUUUGUGUAACCAACUUAGAAUAUAACCAAAGUGAGUAUCCAUGGGACCUUGUGAAAGCCCAUUUGCAGGGAGCUUGCACAUCCAACAUCACCUUUGAUAUCGGUGAAUUACAAAACAAAAUUCUUGAUUUAAAUAAACAAACUCAAGAGUUUCAGCCUUCUUUAGAAGACUAGACCAAAUUCCAGCAAGGCCUGGAGAGCCUCAACCCUUGGACCUGUCUAAAGCACCACAUUAACAUCUUAUAUGUAGUCCUUGGAAUAAUGUUGUUUUGUCUCUGUCUUCUGUUCAUAGUCUGUAAAAUUGGAUGGACUGCCAAUCAGAAAAUGAGAGCUGCCCAGCCUGGCCUUACAUUCUUUCAAUUAAUUCAUAAACAGAAAGGGGGAAAUGUAGAGAGCUGAAUGCCCAUGGGUUGUGACCAACUCAGCAUUCCACUGAGGCUAUAUGAUCAAACAGCAAACUGUUUAUCAUAAAUGCAGAAUGUGGGCAAACUCACUUCUGCUUCAGCCGCCAGAAGGUUCGCUGAGGGCAAUCACUCCCUGGCGCCAUGCUCUUUGAGGUUAUCUACUGAGACAUCUAGAGCCUACUGUUCAAAGAAUGCAAUCUUGUGAGCCUGCUGUGAAUCAAGCUGCUGACCGACAACCACCCCCCCUUCUCCCUAUCUCCUUUACCCAAUAAAUACAAAGGGCACUAAAGCUCAGGGCCCUUUUUCACUAGAAGCAAGGAGCCCCCUGACCCCUUCUUCCAAAUAUACUCUUUGGUCUUUAUCUUUAUUGCUGUGUUCGUCCCCUUUUGUUCAGUCCAACAGGGAUUAGGUCCACGUCACCUUUUAAACAACCAGCUCUUGAGUGAACUCAUUACCAUGGGGGAGGACACCAAGCCAUUCAUGAGGGAUCCACCCCCAUGAUCCUAACACCUCACACCUUGCCCCACCUCCAACACUGAAGAUUACAUUUUAACAUGAGAUUUUGAGGGGAUAAAUAUCCGUACUAUCAGAGAGGUUACUUCAAAUGUUCAGGUGCAUGACAUUUUGAUAUAGCUUUAAAAAUAAGCUAUUAGGGCUGUGCCCAGUGUCUCAUGCCUGUAAUCCUAGCACUUGAGAGGCCAAGCCAGCAGGAUGACUUGAGGCCAGGAGUUCGAGACCAGCCUGAGCAACAUAGCAAGACUCCAUCUCUCUCUCUCUCUCUCAAAAAAAAAAAAAAAUAUAUAUAUAUAUGCAUGGUAGUGCACGCCUAUAAUCCCAGCUACUCAGGAGGCUGAGGUGGGAGGAUCACUUGAGCCCAGAAGUUCAAGACCAGCCUAAACAACACAGUGAGACCCCAUCUCUACAAAAAAUAAGCCAUUAGACUCUCAGGUUAUUAUUUUUAUUAUUGCCAGGUAUCCUCACCCUUACUCCUGGCAUGGAAGAUACAGUAGGAGUCAUAGAUGGCUGUAGGUCAGGUGCUGUCUCAUAAGUAAGCCAUAUCGCCAGGCAUCACAUCUAUGCUCUCACUCUAAUAUAUGUAUAUUGUAACCCCUUCUAUGUGCCAAGGCAGGAGGAUCACUUCAAGCCAGGAGCUGAAGACCAGCCUGAGCUACAUAGUGAAACCCUGACUCUCCAAAAAUAAUUAGCUGACUGUGGUGGCACAUGCUUGUAGUACCAGCUAUUUGGGAGGCUGAGGCAGAAGAAUCACCUGAGCCUAGGAGGUAGAGGCUGCAGUGAGCUAUGAUCGCACCACUGCACUCCAGCCUGGACGACGGAGUUAGACCCUGUCAUUAAAAAAUAUAAAAAAUGAAAAUAUUGUUAAGAAGCUCUUGAGAAGGCUCCAAGUACAGUUCCUGGCAUGUAGUGGGUGCACAGUUAAUACUUCUUGGGGCCACAGGAUUGGGCAUCAGAUUUACAUUUCACUGAAACUUUCUAUACCAUCUGCAUCUAUUUCCUUUUGAAAAAUGUAAAUAAAAUCAAUACAAAUGAACAAAUGUCAGCUCUGUUUUAUCCUUCACAGAAUAAGCCAAAUGAGAGUUGGAAGUGACUGCAGAGAUUGUGAGGAAAUGGAAGCUCAGAAGUUGUGUGGUUUGUCCAAGUUCCCCUGACCAGCUCUGGGACCCUGUUUUUUUCAGUUGAGGUGAAAUUCACAUAACAUAGCAUUUACUUUUUUUUUUUUUUUUUUGAGACAGAGUCUCUCUGUGUCACCCAUGGAGUGCAGUGGCACAAUCUUGGCUAACCGCAACCUCUGCCUCCCAGGUUCAAGCGAUUCUCCUGUCUCAGCCUCCCAAGUAGCUGGGCACAUGCUACCAAGCCCAGCCAAUUUUUUGUAUUUUUAGCAGAGAUGGGUUUUCAUCAUGUUGGCCAGGCUGAUCUCGAACUCCUGGCCUCAGGUAAUCCACCCGCCUCAGUAUCCCAAAAUGCUGAGAUUACAGGCAUGAGCCAUGGCACCACCUGGCCACUUUUUUUUUUUUUUUUUUUUGAGACAGUCUCGUUCUGUCACCCAGGCUGGAGUGCAGUGGUGCGAUCUUAGCUCACUGCAACCUCUGCCUCCCAGGUUCAACCAAUUCUCCUGCCUCAGCCUCCUGAGUAGCUGGGAUUACAGGUGCCAGCCACCAUGCCCAGCUAAUUUUUGUAUUUUGGGUAGAGAUGGGGUUUCUUUUUUUUUUUUUGGAGACAGAGUCUCACUCUGUCACCCAGGAUAGAGUGCAGUGGCGCGAUCUCGGCUCACUGCAAGCUCCGCCUCCUGGGUUCACACCAUUCUCCUGCCUUAGCCUCCCGAUCAGCUGGGACUACAGGCGCCCACCACCACGCCUGGCUAAUUUUUUGUAUUUUUAGUAGAGACGGGGUUUCACCGUGUUAGCCAGGAUGGUCUCGAUCUCCUGACCUCGUGAUCCACCCGCCUCAGCCUCCCAAAGUGCUGGGAUUACAGGCGUGAGCCACCGCGCCCGGCCGAGAUGGGAUUUCACCAUGUUGGCCAGGCUAGUCUCGAACUCUUGACCUCAUGUGAUCCGCCCACCUCGGCCUCCCAAAGUGCUGGGAUUACGGGUGUGAGCCACUGCACCUGGCCUGAAUUUGUUGUUUUUAAGUGAGCAAUUUGGUUGCAUUUAGUAAAUUCACAAUGUUGUACAACCACCACCUGUAUCUGGUUCCAAAACAUUUUCAUCACCCCAAAAGGGCACCCCACCAUUAGAAGUCACUCCCCCUUGGUCCCUUCCCAGGGCCCCCAGCAAUCGACCUUCUCUCUAUAUAGAUUUGCCUGUUCUGGAUAUUUCCUAUAAGUGAAAUCAUACAGUCCUUCUCCUUUUGUGUCUGGCUUCUUUCACUCAGCAUCAUGUUUUCAAGGUUCAUCCACAUCGCAACAUGCAUCAGCACUUCCUUCCUUUUUAUGGCUAAAUAAUAUUCCACUGCAUGGAUAUGUCACAUUUUGUCUGUCCAUUCAUCUAUUGACUGAUAUUUGGGUUGAUUCCAUCUCUGAGCUGUCGUGAAUAGUGCUGCUGUGAACGUCCGUGUACAAGUUUUUGUUGGGAGUCUCUGUUUUCAAUUCUUUCCAGUAUGUGAUCCUGGUCUUUGAUUCCCUCAUUACACUGCCUGCCAAAUGUACAGCCAAAUUGUAUGCAACAUCGUUGGAAGGACACCGGUGGGAG